rnacentral:lncRNA from 1 species
CUUGAUCUAGUUGUUUAGCCUUGGGCGGAUAGGGGAGGUCCUGUGUAAGGUACCGGACUUCUAAAAUUAUGAAGUUACGGUGUACAUUUGUUUGAAAGCCAUAUUUGAAUGGUUCCGGUGAGGUUGCAGUGGAAUGUAAUAUACCGGAUUUUAAAUAUGAAAAUAGAAAUAAAUAAAAAUAGUAUGAGAUACAAUUUUUAUUGGAUUUAGAGAAGUGAAAUAUAAUUUGGAAAUGACCUGUGCUGAAAUCGGAGCGAAAACAGAAGAUUUAGAAUUUUCUGUGAGAAACGAGGCAGAUAAAUUAGCAAAAAAUGCACAGUGUCAGAAAAUUAUGAAAAUUGGAGGAUAUGUCAGAAUUAUUUUUAUGAGGCUAGAUUUCAAGUUUCAUGUCAUUCUGACACUCGAAGGUGGAAAAUAAAAUCCGACAGCUAUCUGAUAAAGAUUACAGUUCGGUACAGUUUUCGGUGAUCAAACGGGGUAGAAACUGAAAUAUUAAAAUUUCUUUGGACUCGUUAAGUAAAACCGAAUAUGACCGUCAAAUUUGAGCUCAAACGGAUAUUUAGGGAGCUCUGGCGAAAGAUAUUAGAUUUCGAACUGCCCGAAAGUGAAUAGUGUUUGAGGGUGUAAUGUAUAAA